rnacentral:sRNA from 12 species
UGGCCUGGUCGGAAGACCCGGGUCCACAUCAAUGACGGGCGAGACGCCC